rnacentral:miRNA from 1 species
GUCGUUGCGCCGGAAGCCCCGGG